rnacentral:rRNA from 1 species
UACGGAGGAUCCAAGCGUUAUCCGGAUUUAUUGGGUUUAAAGGGUGCGUAGGCGGCCUAUUAAGUCAGGGGUGAAAGACGGUAGCUCAACUAUCGCAGUGCCUUUGAUACUGAUGGGCUUGAAUAUACUAGAGGUAGGCGGAAUGUGACAAGUAGCGGUGAAAUGCAUAGAUAUGUCACAGAACACCGAUUGCGAAGGCAGCUUACUAUGGUAUUAUUGACGCUGAGGCACGAAAGCGUGGGGAUCAAACAGG